CCUACGGGUGGCAGCAGUGGGGAAUAUUGGACAAUGGGCGAAAGCCUGAUCCAGCCAUGCCGCGUGUGUGAAGAAGGCCUUCGGGUUGUAAAGCACUUUCAGUGGGGAAGAAAGCCUUGGGGCUAAUACCCUCGAGGAAGGACAUCACCCACAGAAGAAGCACCGGCUAACUCCGUGCCAGCAGCCGCGGUAAUACGGAGGGUGCGAGCGUUAAUCGGAAUUACUGGGCGUAAAGCGCGCGUAGGCGGUCUGAUAAGCCGGUUGUGAAAGCCCCGGGCUCAACCUGGGAACGGCAUCCGGAACUGUCAGGCUAGAGUGCAGGAGAGGAAGGUAGAAUUCCCGGUGUAGCGGUGAAAUGCGUAGAGAUCGGGAGGAAUAUCAGUGGCGAAGGCGGCCUUCUGGACUGACACUGUCGCUGAGGUGCGAAAGCGUGGGUAGCAAACAGGAUUAGAUACCCCAGUAGUC
rnacentral:rRNA from 1 species